rnacentral:rRNA from 1 species
GACGAACGCUGGCGGCGUGCCUAAUACAUGCAAGUCGAACGCAGUGGGGACGGGUGAGUAACACGUGGGUAACCUCCCAUCAGAGGGGAUAACACUUGGAUAAAGGUGCUUAACCGAUACUGACGGAUGGACCCGCAGUGCAAUAGCUAGAGGGUGAGGUAACGGCUCACCAAGGCCACGAGGCAUAGCUGGCCUGAGAGGGUGAUCGGCCACACGGGGACUGAGACACGGCCCAGACUCCUACGGGAGGCAGCAGUGGGGAAUCUUCGGCAAUGGACGAAAGUCUGAUGGAGCAACGCCGCGUGUAUGAAGAAGGUUUUCGGAUCGUAAAGCUCUGUUGUUAGAGAGGCGUUAUCUGACCAGAAAGCCCCGGCUAACUACGUGCCAGCAGCCGCGGUAAUAC